rnacentral:rRNA from 1 species
GACGAACGCUGGCGGCGUGCUUAACACAUGCAAGUCGAACGGAAAGGCCCUGCUUGCAGGGUACUCGAGUGGCGAACGGGUGAGUAACACGUGGGUGAUCUGCCCUGCACUUCGGGAUAAGCCUGGGAGACUGGGUCUAAUACCGGAUAGGAGCCAUUUUUAGUGUGAUGGUUGGAAAGUUUUUUCGGUGUAGGAUGAGCUCGCGGCCUAUCAGCUUGUUGGUGGGGUAAUGGCCUACCAAGGCGGCGACGGGUAGCCGGCCUGAGAGGGUGGACGGCCACACUGGGACUGAGAGACGGCCCAGACUCCUACGGGAGGCAGCAGUGGGGAAUAUUGCACAAUGGGCGCAAGCCUGAUGCAGCGACGCCGCGUGGGGGAUGACGGCCUUCGGGUUGUAAACUCCUUUCGCGAGGGACGAAGCUUUUUGUGACGGUACCUAGAUAAGAAGCACCGGCUAACUACGUG